UACGAAGGGGGCUAGCGUUGUUCGGAAUUACUGGGCGUAAAGCGCGUGUAGGCGGGCGAAUAAGUCGGGCGUGAAAUCCCACGGCUCAACCGUGGAAGUGCACUCGAAACUGGAUGGCUAGAGUCCUGGAGAGGAAGGUGGAAUGCUUGGUGUAGAGGUGAAAUUCGUAGAUAUCAAGCGGAACACCGGUGGCGAAGGCGGCCUUCUGGACAGUGACUGACGCUGAGGCACGAAAGCGUGGGGAGCAAACAGGG
rnacentral:rRNA from 1 species